rnacentral:SRP_RNA from 1 species
UACCAGCCGGGGAGUCAGCGGUGCCUUGUACCCGAGAUCCGCUAUAGCGGGGGUUCAUUCCCGGAAGUGAGGGCGGAGUCGACGCGGUCUGCGACUUUCUUUCUGUGUUGAAGAACGGGUCUCGCGCAAUCGGACGCUGUGAACCAUGUCAGGUGGGGAACCAAGCAGCAUUAAGCGGCCUAUCCGAUGUGCCGCGAGGCAACCUGUUCCGAGCAGAGGGCGAGACUAAC